UACGUAGGGGGGCAAGCGUUGUCCGGAAUUACUGGGCGUAAAGAGCUCGUAGGUGGUUUGUCGCGUUGUCCGUGAAAACUCACAGCUCAACUGUGGGCGUGCGGGCGAUACGGGCAGACUGGAGUACUGCAGGGGAGACUGGAAUUCCUGGUGUAGCGGUGGAAUGCGCAGAUAUCAGGAGGAACACCGGUGGCGAAGGCGGGUCUCUGGGCAGUAACUGACGCUGAGGAGCGAAAGCGUGGGGAGCGAACAGG
rnacentral:rRNA from 1 species